rnacentral:rRNA from 1 species
ACGGGAGGCAGCAGUGAGGAAUAUUGGUCAAUGGGCGGAAGCCUGAACCAGCCAAGUCGCGUGAAGGAUGAAGGUAUUAUGUAUUGUAAACUUCUUUAGACGUAGAGAAAUAAGGCGCUCGAGAGCGCUGAUGCUAGUAUACGUAGAAUAAGGAUCGGCUAACUCCGUGCCAGCAGCCGCGGUAAUACGGAGGAUCCGAGCGUUAUCCGGAUUUAUUGGGUUUAAAGGGUGCGCAGGCGGCAUGUUAAGUCAGCGGUUAAAUAGUGAGGCUCAACCUCAUUCCGCCAUUGAUACUGGGAGACUUGAUUGCGGUCGAGGUUGGCGGAAUUCGCCGUGUAGCGGUGAAAUGCAUAGAUAUGGCGAAGAACUCCGAUUGCGUAGGCAGCUGACCAGGCCGUAAAUGACGCUCAUGCACGAAAGUGCGGGGAUCGAACAGGAUUAGAUACCCUGGUA